rnacentral:rRNA from 1 species
UACGUAGGGUGCAAGCGUUGUCCGGAAUUAUUGGGCGUAAAGAGCUCGUAGGCGGUCUGUUGCGUCGGCUGUGAAAACCCGGGGCUCAACCCCGGGCCUGCAGCCGAUACGGGCAGACUAGAGUUCGGCAGGGGAGACUGGAAUUCCUGGUGUAGCGGUGAAAUGCGCAGAUAUCAGGAGGAACACCUAUUGCGAAGGCAGCUCGCUGGGACGUAACUGACGCUGAGACGCGAAAGCGUGGGGAGCAAACAGG